rnacentral:rRNA from 1 species
AGAGUUUGAUCAUGGCUCAGAAUGAACGCUGGCGGCGUGCCUAACACAUGCAAGUCGAGCGAGAAAUCACACUUCGGUGUGAGAGUAGAGCGGCGUACGGGUGAGUAACGCGUGGAUAAUCUACCCAUGGAUUGGGGAUAACCCUGCGAAAGCGGGGCUAAUACCUGAUAGACUGGUCAUUAUAUAGAUGAUCGGUAAAGGUGGCCUCUGAUACAAGCUACUGUCCGUGGAUGAGUCCGCGUCUCAUUAGCUGGUUGGUGGGGUAAUGGCCUACCAAGGCGACGAUGAGUAGCUGGUCUGAGAGGAUGAUCAGCCACACUGGGACUGGAACAUGGCCCAGACUCCUACGGGAGGCAGCAGUGGGGAAUAUUGGGCAAUGGGCGCAAGCCUGACCCAGCAACGCCGUGUGAGGGAAGAAGGUUUUCGGAUCGUAAACCUCUGUCAGAAGGGAAGAAGUGGCAGGUAUUUAAUAUAUAUUUGCUUUGACGGCACCUUCAGAGGAAGCACCGGCUAACUCCGUGCCAGCAGCCGCGGUAAUACGGAGGGUGCAAGCGUUAUUCGGACUCACUGGGCGUAAAGCCCGCGUAGGUUGCGUGGUAAGUCACAUGUGAAACCCCUCGGCUCACCCGGGGAACU